GAUGAACGCUGGCGGCGUGCCUAAUACAUGCAAGUCGAGCGAACAGACGAGGAGCUUGCUCCUCUGACGUUAGCGGCGGACGGGUGAGUAACACGUGGAUAACCUACCUAUAAGACUGGGAUAACUUCGGGAAACCGGAGCUAAUACCGGAUAAUAUAUUGAACCGCAUGGUUCAAUAGUGAAAGACGGUUUUGCUGUCACUUAUAGAUGGAUCCGCGCCGCAUUAGCUAGUUGGUAAGGUAACGGCUUACCAAGGCGACGAUGCGUAGCCGACCUGAGAGGGUGAUCGGCCACACUGGAACUGAGACACAGUCCAGACUCCUACGGGAGGCAGCAGUAGGGAAUCUUCCGCAAUGGGCGAAGGCCUGACGGAGCAACGCCGCGUGAGUGAUGAAGGUCUUCGGAUCGUAAAACUCUGUUAUUAGGGAAGAACAAAUGUGUAAGUAACUAUGCACGUCUUGACGGUACCUAAUCAGAAAGCCACGGCUAACUACGUG
rnacentral:rRNA from 1 species